CCUACGGGGGGCUGUAGUGGGGAAUAUUGGACAAUGGGCGAAAGCCUGAUCCAGCCAUGCCGCGUGUGUGAAGAAGGCCUUCGGGUUGUAAAGCACUUUCAGUGGGGAAGAAAGCCUUGGGGCUAAUACCCUCGAGGAAGGACAUCACCCACAGAAGAAGCACCGGCUAACUCCGUGCCAGCAGCCGCGGUAAUACGGAGGGUGCGAGCGUUAAUCGGAAUUACUGGGCGUAAAGCGCGCGUAGGCGGUCUGAUAAGCCGGUUGUGAAAGCCCCGGGCUCAACCUGGGAACGGCAUCCGGAACUGUCAGGCUAGAGUGCAGGAGAGGAAGGUAGAAUUCCCGGUGUAGCGGUGAAAUGCGUAGAGAUCGGGAGGAAUACCAGUGGCGAAGGCGGCCUUCUGGACUGACACUGACGCUGAGGUGCGAAAGCGUGGGUAGCAAACAGGAUUAGAUACCCUUGUAGUC
rnacentral:rRNA from 1 species